ACUGUUUUGUCAGUUACAGCUAUUUUACAUAGUCUCUGCACCAGCAACCAUUAAAUGAAUGGGGUCACAGGACAGCCAACUUUAUCCCUAGAACUAGAACAAGCCAUUGCUUCCUAAGAUUCGAAAAUGGGUCAUUUAGUCCUGAAUUUUGUUGUGGGGUAGAGAACUGAAGGCCACUCAGCACAACUAAAGUCUGAACUGAUAGUCUGCAUUAAGUCAGCAGGUCUGUAGUCACACUAGUUCUAACUUACAGUAUAUCUGUCUUCUUCAGUUCCCAGGUCCAGGCCUGAGGCAGUCGGGGCUGAACCAUGACCCAUAUACAAAACACAAGACGCAGGAAGAGGUAAAAGAACAGGGAGUAGAAGGGCUUUGGGGCCAAUGAAAUCUUAAUUUUAAUGGAUCCAGAGUCUGGGAACAGUCCGUUUGGCAUCAUCAUCUGUGGCUUUGGCUUUCUUCACCUGAGUGUAGUGGACCCAUGGUGAAAUGCCAGCUACCUUCAUGGUCAGAGGAAUAGAGAAUGACUGUGUAGGGUCCCUUUUAA
rnacentral:lncRNA from 1 species